GAGUUUGAUCUUGGCUCAGAUUGAACGCUGGCGGCAUGCCUAACACAUGCAAGUCGAACGGCAGCACUGGGAGCUUGCUCCCUGGUGGCGAGUGGCGGACGGGUGAGUAACGCGUAGGAAUCUGCCUCAUAGCGGGGGACAACUCGGGGAAACUCGAGCUAAUACCGCAUACUACUCGAGAGAGGAAAGCAGGGGACCUUUCGGGCCUUGCACUAUGAGAUGAGCCUGCGUUGGAUUAGCUAGUUGGUAGGGUAAAGGCCUACCAAGGCGACGAUCCAUAACUGGUUUGAGAGGAUGACCAGUCACACUGGGACUGAGACACGGCCCAGACUCCUACGGGAGGCAGCAGUGGGGAAUAUUGGACAAUGGGGGAAACCCUGAUCCAGCAAUGCCGCGUGUGUG
rnacentral:rRNA from 1 species